rnacentral:lncRNA from 1 species
ACUCGUAUUUUAUAUCACUUAUUUCCCUUUACACAAAUUCAGGAGGUCGCGGGCUGAUGGCUCUCAAAUUCCUUUGCGCGUCAUGACGUGAUGCAAAGUCAUAAAAGGCGUCACAUGGUCACAUGACUUCCAUAUAUCUAAAACCGCAUAAUUCGAACUCAAUGGAAAACUUCUGUCUUAACAGACACAUGAAUAUCAAUCAACCGAGACGAAAGCUCUAAAAACCCUUAUCUAGUGAAGAAGUAUGACUGAAGAUAUGUGGCAUUGACUGUACUUGCUGAAUGGAAGUCACCAAGUAAAAUUGUUGCCCGAACAGGGGCAGGAAAGGGGAAAGGAGAUGUUAUUGUUGUAACUAAAUCUGGAGGCAAGGGCAGCUGUACUGUUGGUUUCCGUGGCUACUUUCUACAAAUAGGUCCAUUGCAAGAAUCAGCUGUGUGGAUUGAUGAAUCACAGACUGUGAGAGCCAAUCUAGACCAUGGACGAAUAGCCACUGCUGCUCCACUGAAAGAGGAGGAAGAUCCUCUUGGAAUUUCAGAUGAGGGAGACAAGUCAGUUUUUAUGGAUUCUAAAAAGUCUCAAAAACUGUUGAAAGAAUGAAAUCCAUCGAAAGAUUGAGAGACGCCCCUACGUAGGGAUAUAUACUUCUUCUUCCUAUACUGUGGGCAGAAGCUUCGCGGGCCGGACGGCACCGCGUCGCGGGCCGUAGGUUGGGUAUCCCUGUUAUAAGAAAUAUUUAAGACACCUUUCUGAAAGGUGCAACAAAAUCACAGAUCCUGGAGCCCAGCAGAACAUACAGAUAGGAGGCGGAAAUUACAAGCCUGCAUUUUAGUGACUGACACUAAACGACACUAUGAUUCCGAACUUUUGACCCAGCUGUUGUCGCUUCCUCACAUAGGCAAAAUCCAGGCUUUAAGCAACAGGUUGUUAGGGGAGAAAAACAUUUAACAAACACAUGUUGCA